rnacentral:rRNA from 1 species
UACGUAGGGCGCAAGCGUUGUCCGGAAUUAUUGGGCGUAAAGAGCUCGUAGGCGGUUCGUCACGUCGGCUGUGAAAACCUGAGGCUCAACCUCAGGCCUGCAGUCGAUACGGGCGGACUUGAGUACUGCAGGGGAGACUGGAAUUCCUGGUGUAGCGGUGAAAUGCGCAGAUAUCAGGAGGAACACCGGUGGCGAAGGCGGCGACCUGGGACAAUACUGACGCUGAGGUGCGAAAGCGUGGGGAGCAAACAGG